rnacentral:rRNA from 1 species
GACGAACGCUGGCGGCGUGCUUAACACAUGCAAGUCGAACGAAGUGGCGAACGGGUGAGUAACGCGUCCUCAACCUGCCCUUCAGAGGGGGACAACAGUUGGAAACGACUGCUAAUACCGCAUACUGAAGGAGGGGAUUUCGUCUGAUUAGCUAGGGGGAGGGGUAACGGCCCACCAAGGCGAGGAUCAGUAGCAGUGCGGAGAGGAGGAAGGGCAACAUGGGGACGGAGACACGGACCAGACGCCUACGGGAGGCAGCAGUGGGGAAGCUGCCGAAAUGGACGAAAGUCUGACGGAGCAACGCGGCGUGAGUGAUGACGGCCUGCGGGUUGUAAAGCUCUGUUAAUCGGGACGCGGUACCGGAAUAGAAAGCCACGGCUAACUACGUGCCAGCAGCCGCGGUAAUUC